CUAGAUAGUAAAAUAAUAUUACCUUUAGUUUAAAAUAAAUAUGAAAUUAAAUAAUAUAUGAUGGUUUUAUCAUAAAAUUAAUAUACACUAGUGUAGCAAAAUAAAAAAUAAUGAAGUGGAACAAAAAUAACUGAAAAUUGAAAGAAAAAAAAAAGACAAAUGAAAAAAAAUAAAAAGAAUGAAAAAUUAGACCAACCAAAAAAAAUAAAUAAUAAAAGAAAGCAAUCAAACCAAUACAUUAGGUAGAAAAUGAAAAUGAAAAUUUGGUGUUUUCAGCUUUUGUACAUGAGUUUGAAUUUGUUUUCAGAAAAUAAUUCAAGUGAAAAUGAAAA
rnacentral:lncRNA from 1 species